GACCGGGUAGCUCAAAUGGUAGAGUAGCCGAUAUGUCUUCAAGAGGUUCUGGGUUUAAAUCCCAGUCCGAACA
rnacentral:tRNA from 1 species